CCAGACUCCUACGGGAGGCAGCAGUGGGGAAUAUUGCACAAUGGGCGCAAGCCUGAUGCAGCCAUGCCGCGUGUAUGAAGAAGGCCUUCGGGUUGUAAAGUACUUUCAGUCGGGAGGAAGGUGUCAAGGUUAAUAACCUUGGCAAUUGACGUUACCGACAGAAGAAGCACCGGCUAACUCCGUGCCAGCAGCCGCGGUAAUACGGAGGGUGCAAGCGUUAAUCGGAAUUACUGGGCGUAAAGCGCACGCAGGCGGUCUGUCAAGUCGGAUGUGAAAUCCCCGGGCUCAACCUGGGAACUGCAUUCGAAACUGGCAGGCUGAAGUCUUGUAGAGGGGGGUAGAAUUCCAGGUGUAGCGGUGAAAUGCGUAGAGAUCUGGAGGAAUACCGGUGGCGAAGGCGGCCCCCUGGACAAAGACUGACGCUCAGGUGCGAAAGCGUGGGGAGCAAACAGGAUUAGAUACCCGUGUAAA
rnacentral:rRNA from 1 species